rnacentral:sRNA from 1 species
UGUAACCGGCGCCGCCCGGAGCCCGAGCCGCGCGGGCCCCAGCGACCCGCCCGCCAUGGGGGACGAGGACGACGAUGAGAGCUGCGCCGUGGAGCUGCGGAUCACAGAAGCCAACCUGACCGGGCACGAGGAGAAGGUGAGCGUGGAGAACUUCGAGCUGCUCAAGGUGCUGGGCACGGGAGGUGAGGACCCCCAUCCACCGGGCAGGCGUCCCAGGCGCGGUGCCCCUGACCUUCUGCCUGCUCACUCUUGGGCCUGGGCCAGGCCACUGAGCAGGCCCCCCACCCUUUCCCGGCACAGCCUGCCUUGCCUGCCCCGCCCUGCCUCGCCAGGGUUUGCAUGCCCACUUCCAGGGCACUCCACGUUGACAUCACUCCUCCCUCCACGGUCCUGUGCGUGCAUACCCCCCUGGAUUUGCCAACACCCUGGGGAGGGGGACUGGCGCCCCUCUCAAGUGAUUUGCAUAGCUCCUCCCUUUCUUCCAAUAUGGGAUCCCCCUCCCACAUUUUGCAAAUGCCCCA